rnacentral:tRNA from 1 species
GGGCCCGUAGUCGAGCCAGGAUCAAGACGUCGAAAGGAAAAGCCGGUGAGCAGGGGUUCGAGUCCCCUCGGGCCCG